ACAUGUUUCUCUCUGCAGCGGCUGCUGGACAUUAAGGACAAACUGGAGUCCCUGUCUGAGAAAAUAACUCUGUGUGACAACGUCCUGAACGACCUCCGAGAUCUGAGUGAUGUUCUUGUGAGGAAAGAUCUCCAGCAUGCACCCACACCGCCAGAGACGUGAUGGAACUGGAAAACCUCCAAUUUUUAUGCUAAUAUAAUUCUAAAGUGUGGCAGACUUUUCAGUUGUGGAAAAAAACAUUAAAGUGACAAAGAUAAGGUAUUUA